rnacentral:rRNA from 1 species
UACGGGGGGGGCAAGCGUUGUUCGGAAUUACUGGGCGUAAAGGGCGCGUAGGCGGGUGCACAAGUCUCUCGUGAAAGCCCACGGCUCAACCGUGGAAUUGCGGGAGAUACUGUCUGUCUUGAGUCCGGGAGAGGAGGGUGGAAUUCCCAGUGUAGCGGUGAAAUGAGUAGAUAUUGGGAGGAACACUGGAGGCGAAGGCGGCUAGCUGGACCGGUACUGACGCUGAGGCGCGAAAUCUAGGGGAGCAAACGGG